GACGAACGCUGGCGGCGUGCUUAACACAUGCAAGUCGAACGGAAAGGCCCCUUUGGGGGUACUCGAGUGGCGAACGGGUGAGUAACACGUGAGUAACCUGCCCUUGACUUCGGGAUAACUUCAGGAAACUGGGGCUAAUACCGGAUAGGAAUCCUUGCUGCAUGGUGGGGGUUGGAAAGCUUCGGCGGUUUUGGAUGGACUCGCGGCUUAUCAGCUUGUUGGUGGGGUAGUGGCUUUCCAAGGCUUUGACGGGUAGCCGGCCUGAGAGGGCGACCGGCCACAUUGGGACUGAGAUACGGCCCAGACUCCUACGGGAGGCAGCAGUGGGGAAUAUUGCACAAUGGGCGGAAGCCUGAUGCAGCAACGCCGCGUGCGGGAUGACGGCCUUCGGGUUGUAAACCGCUUUCAGCAGGGGCGAAGCUUGUGGUGACGGCACCUGCAGAAGAAGCACCGGCUAACUACGUG
rnacentral:rRNA from 1 species